AUCUGCGGGCAUGCUACCCUGAACAAGCCUGAUACCGUCUGAUCUCGGAAGCUAAGCAGAGUUGGGCCUGAUUAGUACUUGAAUGGGAGACCACCUAGGAAGACCAGGUACUGUAGGUG
rnacentral:rRNA from 1 species